ensembl:ncRNA lncRNA:CR44667 long non-coding RNA:CR44667
UUUUGUUUAUAUGAAAUGCCAUGGCAUUGACCCCCAAACUUUUCAGUGUGGAGCCUCACAAAAUGAGACAGUUCUGGGGAGCUAGAGGAGUUGGAGUUCAGAGUGCACACGAAUGGAAUUUCGCCCCAUUCGUUGUCAAUGUAAUUUGUCAGUUCAAAGACCCCGUGCAGCACGAGGACUCCGAUUCCAACUACAACUAGUUGUCGUGCCAUCCAGCCAGGAUGCAAAAGGACCCCGGAUCCUACGUGCAAGAUGUUUACAUCGCGGCGUCGCCCUGACAAAUGUGCCAAGUGUGCGGACGUGCGCCCAGGUCCCAGUUCCCAGUACCCAGUACCCAGUUUUCCAGCUCCCAGUUACCAGAUCCCAGCUCCUAGCUCCUAGAGCCCAAAAACGCAGAUCCCCGAGUCGAGUGCAGCUAAAAAAAAUGUAAUCAAUGUAUUUUUGUCACGUUAACGAAAUGCACGAGCCUCGCAGCUCAGCUCAGUUCAGCCGGAGCAGCUGCCAUAAAAGGACACUGAGAGAAACCUGCCUGAAUUUGCACGGAGUGACAAUAACAACAACAACAUCCAUAGUAAGUACUAGUAUGACUGCAACUACAACUGAGCUACAGAUGACGGAGAAGAAUGAGUCGAAAUGCCGGGCAGAAUGCACAAAGGAUUGUCAGGGAGAAAUGUCACGUCGUUUGGCAGCAAUUAUCCCCAGAGCCCAAUGAGAGCAUUGACUGAGCGAAUGAGUCCUGCGUCUGCGAAGGAUUCCGGUUGAGAUUUGGAUGCUAAGACUGAGGCCCGAAAUCUAGACGGCAGCUGCCAGACUUUGGCGCGAGCUACAAUGCAAUUGCCGUACAGUGAGCACUCGCUAAGGGUUGCAGAUGCCGUGAUUUACCUGAGUUCUGCGCACCUUUUCGCCUUAAGAUGUUCAAACUAUAUAUGUCAAGAUACAUUGGGAAAGCAAAAUAACAUUCGUUUA